AUUGAACGCUGGCGGCAUGCUUUACACAUGCAAGUCGAACGGUAACAGGCUGCGAGGUUCUGAGGAGUGGCGAACGGGUGCGUAAUGAAUCGGAACGUACCCUGUCCUGGGGGCUAGCUUCUCGGAACCGUAGCUCAUAUAGCAUACGAUCUCUGGAUGACAGCGGGUGGCUGUACGGGCUCGUGCGAUUGUGGCGGCGGAAGUCAGCUAAGGUAGUUGGUGGGGUAAAGGCUGUCCAAGCCCACCAUCUUUAGCUGGUCUGAGAGGACGACCAGCCACACUGGAACUGAGACACGGCCCAGACUCCUACGGGAGGCAGCAGUGGGGAAUUUUGGACAAUGGGCGCAAGCCUGAUCCAGCAAUACCGCGUGCAGGAAGAAGGCCUUCGGGUUGUAAACUGCUUUUGUACGGAAAGAAACGGCUCUGGUUAAUACCCGGGGCUAAUGACGGUACCCAAAGAAUAAGCACCGGCUAACUACGUG
rnacentral:rRNA from 1 species